rnacentral:rRNA from 1 species
AUAGCGUAUAUUAAAGUUGUUGCAGUUAAAAAGCUCGUAGUUGGAUUUCUGGUUUGAGCGUCCGGUCCGUCUCCUUUGGGGAUGUGUACUAUGGAUGUUUGAGCCAUUUUUUGUGAGGAUGACUUUCUGCCAUUAAGUUGGUGGUUGGUUAGACUUGCAUCGUUUACUGUGAAAAAAUUAGAGUGUUUAAAGCAGGCGUUUGCUCAUUGAAUACAUUAGCAUGGAAUAAUAAGAUACGACCUUGGUGGUCUAUUUUGUUGGUUUGCACACCAGGGUAAUGAUUAAUAGGGACAGUUGGGGGUAUUCAUAUUUCAGCGUCAGAGGUGAAAUUCUUGGAUCGCUGAAAGAUGAGCUUAGG